GAUAAACGCUGGCGGCGUGCCUAACACAUGCAAGUCGAACGUCCUCUCUCGCAAGAGAGAGGGAGUGGCGGACGGGUGAGUAACACAUGGGUCACCUACCCUUAAGUGAGGAAUACCAGCGAGAAAUCGCCGACAAGACCGCAUAGGCUCUCUCUUUUGCAAGAGAGAGCAAAGCUUCGCAAGAGGCGCUUGAGGAUGGGCCUGUGGCCGAUUAGCUGGNGGUAGGGUAAUGGCUUACCAAGGCGACGAUCGGUAGCUGGUCUGAGAGGACGAUCAGCCACACUGGGAUUGAGAACGG
rnacentral:rRNA from 1 species